UGCGUAGGCGGUCGGGUAAGUCUGAUGUGAAAUCUCCAAGCUCAACUUGGAAAUGGCAUCGGAUACUAUUCGGCUCGAGGAAUGGAGGGGAGACUGGAAUACUUGGUGUAGCAGUGAAAUGCGUAGAUAUCAAGUGGAACACCAGUGGCGAAGGCGAGUCUCUGGACAUUUCCUGACGCUGAGGCACGAAAGGCCAGGGGAGCAAACG
rnacentral:rRNA from 1 species